AACUUUUACUUUGCGCCAGCAGUAAGCAGCACUUCUUUGAAAAGUUGUAGAUUCAACGAUUGUGGUCAUUCUCACAAGUUUUGCGUUAUUUCCACGCGCAGGAAGUCAAACUUAAUGUGUGUAUCUUUAUCUAAUAAAGCGAGAAAUUGUUUUGGCUUUUCAAAUCUGCUGCAGUGUUAAAAAUGGCUAUAAAUAUGGUCAUAGGGUAUUGUAUGGUAUCAGGUUCUAAAAAUUUUUACAUGUUUUAGUACGUGGGGCUGAUAAUAAGGCGUUAAAAGAAAGACUGCUUGAGUCUG